UGUCGUCAGCUCGUGUCGUGAGAUGUUCGGUUAAGUCCGCUAACGAGCGCAACCCUCGCUGUGUGUUACAAGUGUCACACGGAACUGCCGGUCAUAAACCGGAGGAAGGUGGGGAUGACGUCAAGUCAGCAUGGCCUUUAUAUCCUGGGCUACACACACGCUACAAUGGGAAGGGACAAUAGGUUGCGAAACCGCGAGGUGGAGCCAAUCCAGCAAAACUUCCCUCAGUUCAGAUUGCAGGCUGCAACUCGCCUGCAUGAAGUUGGAGUUGCUAGUAAACGCAGGUCAGCCAUACUGCGUUGAAUACGUUCCCGGGGCUU
rnacentral:rRNA from 1 species